GGGGGCGCAUCGGUUUCGACAGGAGUAGGUGUGCUAUCGACAGCGGGUCGGGGUCUCGGUUACCCCGUAAAACCACCGAAACAAACAUACACGCAAACAAAGAAUUUGCACUGGCUGCAUAAGCCGCGCCGCCUUAUGUUUUCCCGAGGCAUAAGCUCGGCGUCACUCAUCGGGAUACCUUCGCGGAACGUCGGAUAUCGCUGAAGGGAACCGCAUCCGAAUCGUCUUUGUCGGCUUGUUCAUGAGCGAAACAAAGAUUAACACCCGAUCAUGAACUGCACCCGGAGCGGUCGAUAGGGCAAUAUUUUUGGACAGGGGUUCGACUCCCCUCGUCUCCACCA
rnacentral:tmRNA from 1 species